rnacentral:rRNA from 1 species
AUUGAACGCUGGCGGCAGGCCUAACACAUGCAAGUCGAACGGUAACAGGAAGAAGCUUGCUUCUUUGCUGACGAGUGGCGGACGGGUGAGUAAUGUCUGGGAAACUGCCUGAUGGAGGGGGAUAACUACUGGAAACGGUAGCUAAUACCGCAUAACGUCGCAAGACCAAAGAGGGGGACCUUCGGGCCUCUUGCCAUCGGAUGUGCCCAGAUGGGAUUAGAUAGUAGGUGGGGUAAAGGCUCACCUAGGCGACGAUCCCUAGCUGGUCUGAGAGGAUGACCAGCCACACUGGAACUGAGACACGGUCCAGACUCCUACGGGAGGCAGCAGUGGGGAAUAUUGCACAAUGGGCGCAAGCCUGAUGCAGCCAUGCCGCGUGUAUGAAGAAGGCCUUCGGGUUGUAAAGUACUUUCAGCGGGGAGGAAGGGAGUAAAGUUAAUACCUUUGCUCAUUGACGUUACCCGCAGAAGAAGCACCGGCUAACUCCGUG